UUGAUAUGCAAGAACGACCAAAAAAAAAAAAAAUGCUUAGUCUAAGUCAGCCCAGGCUUAAAUGGGUUCAGCAGCCAGGUGGGUCAUAUUUUCCUCUUGCUUAUUCUUUGUGUGAGUAAGUCUUUCCUGCUGAAAGCAACCCAGAUACUGUACGCAAGAUGAAGAUCUGGACCACUGGUUUCAACCCGACUUCAGCAGCAGUUUCGGAUCUGGCUUCAGUAGGAACUGCCCUUAGACUCGAGCUGAAUUUGACUCACCUCAAGGAAACUUUUUAAGCCCCCUUUGCUGGUUUUGCUGCCUGGGCAUUACCUUGCUGGCUUGCUCUAACAUAGUCAGCAGCACAGUUUCAAACUGAAGGCACCAGUGUAAAGGGGAGCAGGAGCUUCCUGAAACCACUGCCUAAGAAGUCAGCUUGCCCCACGUACAAACAAGUUGACACCAUUACUGAUCCCCCCCCUUUGGUUCAAACCUGUACUAACUAGCAGACCUUGACAGCUGCCUCUGUUCUUUCCUAUUACAAGGCUCAGAGGAGAAAGUUGCAGGGAAUCACACUCAGCGCUGGCAUCCCAAUGGUUUAAUUGAAGAUGAACACUUUAUUCAACUCUUGUCCUUUUCCCUGGGGUGGCCAGCAUUGCUUCAAAUGCCUGCUGACUUAAAUGGUGACAGCUGCAGGACACAGACUCAUGUAUCACAAGCUGCGUGCAAUAGGAGAUAGCUGAAGGGCAGAACUUCAAAGACGCUGGUUGUAACCACCCGGACAGCGCAGGGCUGCUGCCACUGCCAGUUGGUAGCUCCAAGCUCAGAUGUGGGGCCGUGGCCUCACAAGCAAUUGGACAUUUGCCACAUCUUGGAGGUGCUGGAUAUUUAUCCCAGAGAGAGGCCGGAAGACAGAGGGCAAGGAACAUUCCACCUGUCUGCCAAAUUCCAGGAGGCUGGAAGCAUGCUGGAAAUCAUACCACCACGACUGCAGCUGAGGGAAGGUCUGACUUAAAACCUUGCCACAAUGAAAAUCCAUCUACCAGUAUUGGUCACCAGUACCUUAACAGGUUCUAAUAUCAGUACAAGCAGCAGAAAUUUGAAGGCAUACCAGAAAUUUUAAAGAGUGCCUACUAACUUCCAGAACACUAACAAUGCAACAAGGAAUAAUAAAAAACUAACUGGUAUACUUGCAAAUAGUUUUCUAUCUUCAGCUGACGAGCUAGGCGCAGAACCCUUUUGGCCACACGAAUGCAGUGUUAUGACACUAGGAAGAAUCUUUUAAAAAGUGAACCUUAGAGACCCAAAUUUCAGAAGGCAAAUUAUGAGAAAAAUAUAUCUUUCAACUAUGAUUUUUUCAGGCAACUUAUGACUGGAAACAAUCGGAGCUGGUCGCACUGCAAGCUGUUGUAAGUCUGUGCCAUUCCGCAUUCUGUCCUCAGGCAGCCCUAUCAGUAAGGAGGCAUGUUACAGCUUUUUAUUUAUUCUAACCUGCUUUGUUGUUUUCUGCAGCAGCAGAGAUCAUUAAGAAAGAAGUUUCUCAGAUACAGAAAAACAUAACCCAAAUUUUUAAUGACCUCUCUAGUUCAGCUCCCCGCUGCAUAUGCAGCUAAUUAUUUUUCACUUGCACAUUUCCUAGGCCUUUCUUCAUUCUGAUCAGCCAUGGAAACUAAGAGCUACUAAUAAAAAGUGACCAUUCCUCUAAAAAUUGUGGCACCUGGGGAGAGGAGGUACUACAUGCUCAACCUGUGAGGCAUUCUGCUCCUAACCUUUGAAAGGUCUGAAGACAGAAUGGAGGUGUCAUCUCCUCUACAAUCAGAUUUCCCUGUUCAGAUUUGGGUUCCAAACCAAGGCAGGAAGAGCAGGAGUGAAUACUCCUGGGAUUUCUGAGCUGCACCUGGCUAUGCCUCCUUCGGCAUUCAUUCCACACACGCAAGUGAAGAGGACAGAAUUUGAGACAGAGGAGGCUCUUUCAGAGCAGAGGGGAAUUUUGCAAGUGUUCAGGGGAAUAAAAACACUUACCUGCCGCGUGUGCUGCGAAGGAAGAGUGCUUUUGGCAGCAGAGGCUGCACAGCUCUGGAAGAAGGGGAGGCAAGUUGGAGCAGCUUCAUCUCUUAAGAGCGUCCCAGCUCUGCCAAACCAAACAAGACAAGGUGACAUGCUUUUCUUGCUGCUCCUUCGUAGACAGACUCAUUAGUUAUUUGUUGGUCCCAUAAGUUGUGGGGAUUUUUAAUUUUUCCUUUUUUUCCUGCAGGGAUAACAGUCAUUCAGGUGUAAUGCUUCAAUUAAAAGGCUUUCCUUCUCUGGCAGUCACAGCAGUGAGAGUCACACCUCUGCUUAGGAAAAAAGCUUUGCUUCCAGCAGAAGCACUAAAGAUGAAGGUGCAGUCAUUAAGGGUGGGAUUUUCACAGGUGUUUGAUGGUAUCAGGUGCCCAAUUCAGUCUCAGGUUUUUGCAUUUUAGGCAAUAUAAAGCUACAAAGUGUUGUCAGAAGGGAAUGAUGAUACAAAAAUUGAGGUGAUAGGAGUCCUAACACCUUUACUGAAUGGUUCCAGUUAAUAACAGAAGGAACAAAGCAAACUCCAUCACACUCUAGAACAGCUGGGCCCUGAUGCCUUGCAUGCUUGCUGUGGCAAGGACACUUUUUUGGUCACUUAGAUAACACAAAGUGAGCUAACCUUGUCAUUCCCUUAAUUUUAACAAGUCUCUAAACACAUCUGUCUAAAUAUCCAUCACCCGGAGGGGAAAAAGAAUAUAUUUAAAAUAUACAAUGAGUGCCAAAUCUAACUCAUCAGUCUCUGCUGGGAUUCCUGAGAGUCUUGGGAGGUGGGACCUGAAGCAGUUUAUUUUGGCAUCGUUCUCAGCUAGGGAAUCUUUUGAUAACAGUGACUCCGGAAUGGACCUAUGCUUUGAGAAGAAAGCGGGGUAAGCAUUAAUGGGAGAGCAGAGGGAAGUCUUAUACUGCAAAUGCUGGGAAAAAGUGACAAAAUUCAUCUGACUUCCACUGCUUUUCUUUCAAGGACAAGAAGAAGGAAAGAAAAGGAAUAAAACACAGUUCAAAGUUCCAGUCAAAAAAGAAAUGAGACAAAAAAGUGAGAAAGUCCUUCUCAUCAUCGAAGUAAUCCUUCUGACUACACAGGGAUUGCACUUAUCACACCUUAGGUGCUUUGUCCAGCAUCCCCUUCAAUCUCCAGACAGAAGGAAACUAUACCAGUCUAUAGGUAUUGGUUUUGAGAUGUUUUUCUUUGAAUAAAAAUGUUUCCAUCAAUAAUUUCAGGCUACUGGCACUGCCUCUCGUAGCUCUGCCCCAGGAUUCAGCCCAAGGAACAAGAAACAAAGGAAAUAAAGAAAAAAAGUACUCUUGUA